rnacentral:rRNA from 1 species
GAUGAACGCUGGCGGCGUGCCUAAUACAUGCAAGUCGAGCGAACAGACGAGGAGCUUGCUCCUCUUACGUUAGUGGCGGACGGGUGAGUAACACGUGGAUAACCUACCUAUAAGACUGGGAUAACUUCGGGAAACCGGAGCUAAUACCGGAUAAUAUAUUGAACCGCAUGGUUCAAUAGUGAAAGACGGUUUUGCUGUCACUUAUAGAUGUAUCCGCGCCGCAUUAGCUAGUUGGUAAGGUAACGGCUUACCAAGGCAACGAUGCGUAGCCGACCUGAGAGGGUGAUCGGCCACACUGGAACUGAGACACGGUCCAGACUCCUACGGGAGGCAGCAGUAGGGAAUAUUCCGCAAUGGGCGAAAGCCUGACGGAGCAACGCCGCGUGAGUGAUGAAGGUCUUCGGAUCGUAAAACUCUGUUAUUAGGGAAGAACAAAUGUGUAAGUAACUAUGCACGUCUUGACGGUACCUAAUCAGAAAGCCACGGCUAACUACGUG